UACGAAGGGUGCAAGCGUUACUCGGAAUUACUGGGCGUAAAGCGUGCGUAGGUGGUUUGUUAAGUCUGAUGUGAAAGCCCCGGGCUCAACCUGGGAAUUGCAUUUGAGACUGAAUAGCUAGGGUGCGGUGAGAGGGAAGCUGGAAGUUUCGGUGUAGCGGUGAAAUGCGUAGAUAUCUGGAGGAACACCGGUGGCGAAGGCGGCAUCCUGGACCAACACUGACACUGAGGAGCGAAAGCCAGGGGAGCAAACGGG
rnacentral:rRNA from 1 species